rnacentral:rRNA from 1 species
GACGAACGCUGGCGGCGUGCCUAAUACAUGCAAGUCGAGCGGAUCUUGUUUAGAAGCUUGCUUCUAAACUUGGUUAGCGGCGGACGGGUGAGUAACACGUAGGCAACCUGCCCUCUUGAUCGGGAUAACAUUCGGAAACGAAUGCUAAGACCGGAUACAUCAUCCGAUUGCAUGAUUGGAUGAGGAAACAUGGCGCAAGCUAUGGCGAGGGGAUGGGCCUGCGGCGCAUUAGCUAGUUGGUGAGGUAACGGCCCACCAAGGCGACGAUGCGUAGCCGACCUGAGAGGGUGAACGGCCACACUGGGACUGAGACACGGCCCAGACUCCUACGGGAGGCAGCAGUAGGGAAUCUUCCACAAUGGGCGAAAGCCUGAUGGAGCAACGCCGCGUGAGUGAGGAAGGCUUUCGGGUCGUAAAGCUCUGUUGCCAGGGAAGAAUAGGUCGGAGAGUAACUGCUCCGAUUGUGACGGUACCUGAGAAGAAAGCCCCGGCUAACUACGUGCCAGCCGCCGCAGUAAAAC